AGUUUUGAGCUAAAUAUAUUUAUAAUAUUAGUUAUUUAUGAAGGUGUUGUAAAACCUUUAUUUAAAAUUAUAUUUAGGGGUGAUAGGCCUUUCAAAAACUAAGAUAUCUUGAAUCUAAUUAAAAGUAUGUAGUACAAUUAACACAACUAUUAAGUGAUUAGGCUUUAUAGAAUUAUUAACCUAUAAGAUUUUAUUUACUAUAAUUUAAUAAUUAAGUACAUAAAUAUAUAAAUAUACAUAUAUUAUAGUUUAUAAAAGAGUGAUUAGAUAGAUUUAAGUUCAUAUUUCUUAUAAUAAUGUUAAUAUUAGUAUUAAGAUUAUAUUUAUAUGAUGAACUCGGCAAAAAUACUUCUUAACUGUUUAUCAAAAACAUAACUAUGUGAAUGAAUACAUAGCGGUUUCUGCUCAA
rnacentral:rRNA from 1 species